rnacentral:tRNA from 1 species
UUAGCUCAGCUGGGAGAGCAUCUGCCUUACAAGCAGAGGGUCGGCGGUUCGAGCCCGUCA